CUUUCACCAGUGAUGCAUAAGAAUCUGUAUUACUCACUCCCUAACCAAUCAACAGAGGUUGUUACUAUUUUUUCCAGACUUAGCCAAUCUAAGGUUUUAAAUUGGUAUGUUCUAUUUUUAUUUUUAAAAGUUCUAAUAGAGUUGACACACUUACUGGCUCUUGGCUCAUGUGUGCCUGUAUGUAUUUCUUUUCCCAUUUUCAGGACCAUUUGUUCUCAUGAAUGUUUUCCUCCACUUUGACUGGUAUCAUAGGAAUUCAUGGCUGCCAACAUUCCAGGGCAGUUGUCUGCCCUUAUCUUUUAUAGAUAUAUAAAGAAAUAUUUACACAUGAAAUCCAAUGUCUAGGUUUCCUUUUAUAGAAAGGGGAGAAGUGGGUAAGUUGUAGAUAAAAGGCAGUUGAGUGUGUUUCUCAUUGUUAUAGCUGGUUUUGGUACCUGGGGCUCAUUAUACUGUUGUUUGUAUUUUUUAUUUGAAGUUCACCAUAAUAAAGAGCUUUAUAGGAUAGUUGGCAAGAGCUACCAGUUGAUAUUUUUGGGUUUUAUUUUUAUGUCUAGCUAGGAACAAUAAUAAAUGUUAAAUAUGUUCUCUAAGCCCAGUGUAACUAAAUUUUAACUUUUAAAUAAUAGCUUUUUAAUAUUAAUUUAAUUUGUACCAACUUAAAUGCUGCUUAAUGCUUACUGACUUAAAUAGUCUUAUUUUCUACUAAUUUCUUUUAAUUUGUUUUUAAAGAAUCCCAUAGGAAGGAUAAAUCUGGCUAAUUGUACCAGUCGUCAGAUAGAACCAGCCAACAGAGAAUUUUGUGCAAGACGCAACACUUUUGAAUUAAUUACUGUCCGACCACAAAGAGAAGAUGACCGAGAGACUCUUGUCAGCCAAUGCAGGGACACACUCUGUGUCACCAAGAACUGGCUGUCUGCAGAUACUAAAGAAGAGCGGGAUCUCUGGAUGCAAAAACUCAAUCAAGUUCUUGUUGAUAUUCGCCUCUGGCAACCUGAUGCUUGCUACAAACCUAUUGGAAAGCCUUAAACUGGGAAAUUUCCAUGUUAUCUAGAGGUUUUUGAUGUCAUCUUAAGAAACACUUAAGAGCAUCAGAUUUACUGAUUGCAUUUUAUGCUUUAAGUAUGAAAGGGUUUGUGCCAAUAUUCACUACGUAUUAUGCAGUAUUUAUAUCUUUUGUAUGUAGAACUUUAACUGAUUUCUGUCAUUCAUCAAUGAGUAGAAGUAAAUACAUUAUAGUUGAUUUUGCUAAAUCUUAAUUUAAAAGCCUCAUUUUCCUAGAAAUCUAAUUAUUCAGUUAUUCAUGACAAUAUUUUUUUAAAAGUAAGAAAUUCUGAGUUGUCUUCUUGGAGCUGUAGGUCUUGAAGCAGCAACAUCUUUCAGGGGUUGGAGACAGAAACCCAUUCUCCAAUCUCAGUAGUUUUUUUGAAAGGCUGUGAUCAUUUAUUGAUCGUGAUAUGACUUGUUACUAGGGUACUGAAAAAAAUGUCUAAGGCCUUAACAGAAACAUUUUUAGUAAUGAGGAUGAGAACUUUUUCAAAUAGCAAAUAUAUAUUGGCUUAAAGCGUGAGGCUGCCUUCAGAAAAGAGAUGUGGACAUAGGAGGCAAUGUGUGAGACUUGGGGGUUCAAUAUUUUAUAUAGAAGAGUUAAUAAGCACACGGUUUACAUUUACUCAGCUACUAUACAUGCAGUGUGGUGCACAUUUUCACAGAAUUCUGGCUUCAUUAAGAUCAUUAUUUUUGCUGCGUAGCUUACAGACUUAGCAUAUUAGUUUUUUCUACUCCUACAACAAGUGUAAAUUGAAAAAUCUUUAUAUUAAAAAAGUAAACUGUUAUGAAGCUGCUAUGUACUAAUAAUACUUUGCUUGCCAAAGUGUUUGGGUUUUGUUGUUGUUUGUUUGUUUUUUGUUUGUUUUUGGUUCAUGAACAACAGUGUCUAGAAACCCAUUUUGAAAGUGGAAAAUUAUUAAGUCACCUAUCACCUUUAAACGCCUUUUUAAAAAAUUAUAAAAUAUUGUAAAGCAGGGUCUCAACUUUUAAAUACACUUUGAACUUCUUCUCUGAAUUAUUAAAGUUCUUUAUGACCUC
rnacentral:sRNA from 1 species